rnacentral:SRP_RNA from 1 species
UGUGCUAUGUGGGGAGCUAGCGGUGCCCUGUAACUUGCAAUCCGCUACAGCAAGGCAGACGGCGUAUCUAGGUCUAUCGUAUGGAAGGCUGACUUUGGCAAGGAGUGUUGAUAUCUGGGUCUUGUGCAAUGGUGUGCCAUGAACCGUGUCAGGGCUUGACGGCAGCAGCACUAAGUGGAGAGCACUGUGUGCCACGAGGUCGCUCAGGGGGAGCCACCUACCAAGGGAUCGCUUCGGUGCGGUUUAUCGAAAUACGUGCAC